rnacentral:rRNA from 1 species
CCUACGGGAGGCUGCAGUGAGGAAUAUUGGUCAAUGGGCGGGAGCCUGAACGAGCCAAGUAGCGUGCGGGAUGAAGGCCCUACGGGUCGUAAACCGCUUUUGCACGGGGAUAACACCCUCCACUUGUGGAUGUCUGCAGGUACCGUACGAAUAAGGGCCGGCUAAUUCCGUGCCAGCAGCCGCGGUAAUACGGAAGGCCCGAGCGUUAUCCGGAUUCAUUGGGCUUAAAGGGAGCGUAGGCGGGCGUUCAAGUCAGCUGUAAAAUCUCGCGGCUCAACCGCACCUCGCGGUUGAAACUGGACGUCUUGAGUUCACUACAGGCAGGCGGAAUUCGUGGUGUAGCGGUGAAAUGCAUAGAUAUCACGAGGAACCCCGAUUGCGAAGGCAGCCUGCCGGGGUGCGACUGACGUUGAGGCUCGAAGGUGUGGGUAUCAAACAGGAUUAGAUACCCUUGUAGUC